GUGUACUGCCAUGCUAUCCUGAACAAGCCUGAUUCCAUCUUAUCUCGGAAGUUAAGCAGGGUUAUGCAGGAUAGGAGACCACCUAGGAAGACCAGGUGCUGUAGUCA
rnacentral:rRNA from 1 species